UCCCUAUUCAAUUCUUAUUAUUCUUGGUUUUCCAGAGUUACAUCGCCCUCUCAGUUAUACAGGGUCAUGGGAACCUGCCGUUCUUAUAGUUACUUCUUUAAGUGAAUGACUUCUCCCUGCUGCCGUCUUUAAUGCUCCCUAUGUUGUGGGACUGGGCUGAAUGUGUACAUCCUUAUGAAAGCAUAAAACAUCCAUCAUAUAAUGGUGGAUAGAGGACAGAGCAUAGGAUUUGGGUGCAGAAGACAGGUUGAAAUCCUGCUUUGGAUACUACAUCAAGCCAGUGAAGAUUUCCUAGGCACUUAUAAUGUGCCAGACACACCAGGCUUGGGACUAAGUGUUGGGAAGAUGAGCAGAAAGAAAUACAGUGGGGGCUUCCAUGGUAGGGGGUUCCAGGACCCAUAAAAGGCAGCUAAAGGGAGAGGAGAGAGGGACCAAGAAAACAGUGGCUGGGGCAUGAUAGAGGAAGUCAAUGUAGCACAGCUGGGAUGGGAAUGAGACCUUCAUGGCCUCUCUGCUUUAAGUGGAAGCUCUAAGAGACACCGACCACUCUAGGGGUAGGAGGCUUGUAGCAGGGUAAUUCCAGGGCCAGAGUGAGGUCUUUUUUGUGGUCCUACUGCUCUCGGAUGAUCCCCCUUUGCUAUUUCUGUGUGGUUCUUCCUCCCUAAUGGAUCUAUGACACGUUCUCAUCUGCUUUGGAGCAGUCCUUAACUUUAAUUCUUUAGAGUUUGUGGCAUUUGACAAUUGGGAACCCACAGCAGCUAAUUAGAUUGGAUAAAAGGGAAUGGAAAGGGCUGGGGCCUUCCUGGGGGGUGUGGAGGUGGGGUGGGGAAUGCCAGCAGGAGAAGGCCAGAAUGGGGACUGAGGUUCAUGGGUAAAAGUCAGGAUGGGGGGUUGGUGGUUAUCCAGGCAGAAUAAGAGAUCACACAAAAUGACUACAAGGGCAAGGGAGGUGGGCAAUGGUGGGCACCAAUGGCAUCCCCCAAUGCUGAGGGAUGUGGGCCCCAAUGGCAUCCCCCCAAUGCUGAGGGAUGUAGGCACACCAACAGCAUCCUCCCAAUGCUGAGGGAUGUGGGCACCAACGGCAUCCCCUAGUGCAGAGUGAUGGGGUAGAGGGCAUUAUCAGAGGGUCUAGAGAAGCUCAUGGUCAGUUUGAUGGUGCUGCAGACAGAGCACGCAACCUGGAAUCAGGAGGGCCUGAGUUCCAACGUGGGCUCGGCCACUUUCUAGCUGUGUGAUACUGGGCAAAUCACUUAACCCUGAUGGUCUCAGUUUUCUCAUCUGUAAAAUAGGCUGGAGAAGGAAAUGGUCAGCCUUUCAGUAUAUUUGCCAAGGAGAUCUCAAACCUGGGCACGGAGAGUCAGACAUGACUGAAAAACAACUGAGCGACCCCAGGUUUAUGCAGCAUGAGAAGGCUUGGGUUGGUGGUGAGCUUCACUGUUGGAGGGAAUGCCCACAUCACUGCUGCCCACGAAGCCACCGAAACAUGGGAACUCUGAAAACUCUUGUAACCUAGAGGUAACUCUGGGGAAAGGCCUUUGAAGUGACCCUGUGGGGCCCGGGGCCCAUGGCACGGUGGACUGGAAGCUCUUCCCGCUGAACACUAGUCAGACCAUGUUUAGAACAGGAGGGACCCAGAGAUCCAACUCCCUUAUUUUAGAAACGAGGAAGCUAAGUUCCAGAGGGGUGAUGGGUUGCCCACUGGCACCCAGGUGUGAUGGGCAGAAUUCGAAUAGGAAGCCAGCCUGGAUCUGGAGCCAAAGCCCGAAUGCCCCCAUUCCAGGGGCCUGCAGUGAGUUGUUGCUUGUGCUGGGCCCCGGAGGGCCCCCAUGCAUUUCCACAGGACAGAUGCACCCAGAGGCGCCCAGGGUGAGGGGCACGGACUCAUGGUGUGUGUGUGUGUGUGUGUGGGGGAGACCUCGUGCCACUGAGGCCGGCAGGAUGCCCGCUCUCAGCCUGAGACUGAAGGGGGAGGGGGAUGUUGAGGGGGCGGGCCUGAGAGAGUCCUUUUGCUCUCCCCUGGGAGUGGGAAACUUCUUGAUUUUCUUUCGCUGCUUCCCCAGCCCCUUUGGGCCCCGUUUCCGGGCCUUCUUUGUUUUCUUUUUCAUUUCAGCGCAUGUUACUCCUGCCCUUCCCCUCCCCUCCCCAGCCAUGCUUUCAUUUCAUCUGUUCCUUCAGUGUGAGCUGUGCCUCCCAGAGAGAACACGACAGACACCCCGUGGGUUGCGGGGGGGCGGGGGGGUCUCUCUGGCUGCGUGCUCAGCCUUGGAAGCUUCCAGAAGGGACCCCCCCCCCUCCCCGCUUCCCAGGACCACCAAGUUCUCUUGGACCAGCCAGCCUCGCUUCCCGUGCCCAGGAGGCUUCCCAGAGCGAAGCCUGUCAGUUUUCUUCCUCCGGCCGCUACAAUGUAUCUGAGAAGCCGCAGGACCUUCACCUCUCUUCUCCGCCCCUCCCCCCCACUAAAGCCGAAGGGUUCCCCCUGCUGGUCGCUGGGGCUGCAGGGGAUGCUAGGACGGCAUGGCUACUCGUGACCCACUGGGGGAGGGGGGGGCGGGUGCUGGGUUCCAGAAGCCUCAGUUUCCUCAAAUGUCAAAAGGGUCCGCCGACGUCACGGGGCGCGCGACCCUGGGGCCCUGUGAAGUCACUUCCGUGUCCCAGCCUCGACCGGUGCAUCUGUGAAGUGGGCGGGCACCUCCCGAGGCAGCCGGUCUCCUCGGUUCCACCUUAGCAAAGCUCGUUCCGGGCUCUGGAACCCGGGGUUGGGAACCCUCAGAGAGAAGCUGCUCAGUCUCGGGGACUUCCCCGCCUCGGCUCCUCUGCGCCUGCGCCAGGAUGACCAGCGUCCCGAGGGGAGGGGCAGGGUGGAAGAGGCUGGGGCGGGGCCUCCCUCGACUUCCC
ensembl:lncRNA